CUCUGUUGGUGUUUUCACUUGGGGAAAACAAAUCUCCUUCAAUCGUAAAAGCACAAAUCUCCUUCGAUCACGACAACCUUCCUUCGAUUCUCCAGCAACACCAUCACUGAAACAUGCCAUCACCACCACCGCAACCAGAAACACCAUCGCCACCACUUUCUUACUCUUUUCUUCUUCUUCUUCUCCAAUUGAAAUUCUUGUUUUCUUUUUAAUUCUGUGCCAGUAAUCGCCUCAUCUCUCUCCAUUCCUUUCUUCACCUCUGAAAUCAAAAUCCAUGUUCAUCCUCAUCAAUUUCCCCAAGUUCCAUACCUUAAACUUCGAAUAAUCUGUACUUGAUUUCGAAUUUAGGGUUCAGAGUUUUAAUUUGAUUAAAUCACUUCAGAAACUGUAACCCUAAAUUGGAAUUGGGUGAAUAGAUUAUAUCACUUCAGAAGUAUCUCCACAAAUACUUCCAGAUUGGUUUGGUUACUAAACUCUUCUUCUUCACUUGAGGAGGGUGGAAGGAGUUCAAGUCAUGAUCUAUGGGGUUCUCAGUCGGCCAAAUUUUUGUAUGCCACCAACGUCACCCGCACCAGCAGCACUUCCACCGCCACCAAAAAAAUACCCCGUCAAAUAUACAAUUCGCGGUGCCAUUAUGGCUGUGCCAUCAUUGGUUUUGAUGCAAGGGAAAGGAAAAGGCAAUUUCGAAGUGUUUCAGCAACUCCAGAAACAAGGCAGAUUAUUUCAUGUGUCCAUGCCUCGGAAAUGUAGCAAAAAUGUUCAGGGAACCGCUGGUGGUCUUCUAUUCCUCCGGAGAUGGAACAAUUUACAGUUUGCUACAAGUGCUGCUUUCUUAAUGUUAGUCUAUGCUGACAAUUUUCUACUGCUGGGAAAAAAUUGUUCAGUGGCCUCGCUACUCAUCAUUCCACGCUUUGUUGCACUAAAGGUCAUAUUGCCCUGUAAUCUUCUGGUAAGGGGAUCUGCCAGUUUUGAUAAAGGCAUGUCAUCUUCUCUACUAAUAAUCUGUGAAAUAGUGUGCGCCGCUUACGUUACUUCCAUGUACACAUAUAUGUGUUCUUAUAAAAAUAAUAGCAAUUUUGGUUUUGAUGUCCAUGUAACAUCUUUUGGAUAGAUAAUACAAUUUC